GACCAAGAAGUCUAACAUGUGUGCGAGUCAUUGGGUAUAUUGUUGAAACCUAAGGGCGCAAUUAAAAUAACUAUUUUAUGGGAUUACAAGUGAAUUAAAUUUCAUUUCUUCAUCCCGGGGCGUUCUAUACGAACAUGAUGCAAGCAAUUGAAUCCUCUGUUCAAGAGCGUACCUUGAGCAUACAUGCUGUGACCCGAAAGAUGGUGAACUAUACCUGAUCAGAUCGAAGCCAGGAGAAAUUCUGGUGGAGGAUCGAAACAGUUCUGACGUGCAAAUCGAUUGUCAGAAUUGGGUAUAGGGGCGAAAGACCAAUCGAACCAUCUAGUAGCUGGUUCCCUCCGAAGUUUCCCUCAGGAUAGCUGGCGCAAAGAAUUAUAUUGUAUAUAAUCUUAUCUGGUAAAGCGAAUGAUUAGAGGCCUUGGGGCCGAAACGACCUCAACCUAUUCUCAAACUUUAAAUGGGUAAGAACCUCAUCUUUCUUGAUCUGAAGAUAUUGGGGUUUAGAUAUAUUGUGCCCAGUGGGCCACUUUUGGUAAGCAGAACUGGCGCUGUGGGAUGAACCAAACAUGAUGUUACGGCGCCUAAAUUAAUGACUCAUAUUGAUACCAUGAAAGGCGUUGGUUGCUUAAAACAGCAGGACGGUGGACAUGGAAGUCGUAAUCCGCUAAGGAGUGUGUAACAACUCACCUGCCGAAGCAACUAGCCCUUAAAAUGGAUGGCGCUCAAGUCAUAUGCCUAUACAUCAUCGCUAGAAUAAAAAUUGUUGGCCAUUCGGUCAUCAUUGUGAAAUUCUAGUGAGUAGGAGGGUACAAUGGUGUGCGCAGAAGUGUUUGGCGUGAGCCUGCAUGAAGCCGCCAUUGGCACAGAUCUUGGUGGUAGUAGCAAAUAAUCGAAUGAGAUCUUGGAGGACUGAAGUGGAGAAGGGUUUCGUGUGAACAGUGGUUGAUCACGAGUUAGUCGGUCCUAAGCUUUAUGCGAAAGCUGUUUAAUUUAUGUUACACACAAAAUUUUUGUUGUACAUAAUUCAAUAAAAGCGAAAGGGAAUACGGUUCCAAUUCCGUAACCUGUUGAGUAUACGUUUGUUUAUUAAAAAUGGGUCUUAUUACACUCAUCCUGGCAACAGGAACGACCAUAGAGAAGCCUUCGAGAGAUACUGGAAGAGUUUUCUUUUCUGCUAAACAAGCGUACCACCAUGGAAGUCUUUUAUAGAGAGAUAUGGUGGAUGGCUUGGAAGAGCAUGACAUUUACUGUUGUGUCAGUAUUUUCUCCUUGGACCUUGAAAAUCUAUGGUGGGGCCACGCAAACUUCUCAACAGACCGUACCGAUAUCCGCAG
rnacentral:rRNA from 1 species